rnacentral:lncRNA from 1 species
GGGGGAGGGACAUGGAAACAUAAUAAUAAUUAUAUAAAAAACACAGAUUUUGGUCCUGGCGGGCGGGCACAGCCCCGGUUGGUCCAUGGAGGGGUCCAUGGGGGGGUCCAUGGGGGGGUCCAUGGGGAAGAGUGAUGUGCUUUGGGGACCCCCCCAGCCCCAUGGAAGCUUUGGGGUUGGGGGGGAGGGGUUUUGGGGCCGCUCAGAGGAUCUGUCGGGGCAUCCCAUACCCGGUCAUGCCCGCCUGCGAGGCACCGCGGUUGGUGCCCAUCUGCAGCCCGAUGACGCUCUGCCCCUCCUUCAGUUUAUCCUCCGAGAAGACGCGGCGGUUCUCCUGUGAUUUCUUGGGGAACCAGUUGGGGUCUCCCACGAAGAGCCCAUCGCCUUUGGCCACCGCCAAGCUGCCCAGGUUCAUCAGCGUCCUCUGCACGCACGCCAUGUUCUUCCCUUCCCACAGAUCCACUGUCUGGAAGAUGUCGGUGGCGGCGAUGCCGUAACGCUCGGCUGCCUGCAGGAACUGUGAGAUCUGCUCCAUCUGCUUGAAGGCCAUGGAGGACGCCUGGAUUUUGGCCACUGGAGCUUGGCCCCGCGGGUAGAGGCUGUUGAUGAGGCGGCACAGGACAGUGCCAUCCUUGAGCCACUGCUGGAACCCAUCACGCCCAGGCGUGGGUUGGGGGAUGUCCUCCCCGCACUGCCCCACCAUCCAGCGCACCAACAGCUGCUCCAGGUCGGGGUCGUACUGACGGUCGAUCUUCUGCUGCACCUCCCGGCUCAGCCCAUACGAUGGUCCCCGGUUCGCCAUGCCUGCGGUGCCGAUCCCGGUCCCGGUGCGGUCCCGCAGUGGCGGAUGCCGCCGCCCGCUCCCUUUUCACGGCUGAUGUCACCGCGGAGGGGCGGCAACGGCACCGCCCGACCCCGGGGCGGACCCGAACCGCAGGGAAUGGGGAGAACCGCACCGCCCCGAUGGGACGGGGGGGCACUUUGGGGGGGGGGGG